GAAAUGCGAUAAGUAAUGCGAAUUGCAGAUUUCAGUGAAUCAUCGAAUCUUUGAACGCACAUUGCACCCGGCGGCACUCCGCCGGGUCUGCCUGUCCGAGCGUCGUUUCCACCCCUCGGGUCCACUGAAGGACCCGGUGUUGGGGAUCUGCAGCGUCCCCCCCGGGGGCGCUGCAGGCCCCGAAAUGCAGUGGCGGGCCCGCCGCUGGAACCCCCUGCGCAGUAAGUCAGCUUCCUCGCAUCGGGUGCCGGCGGAGCCCUGCCGUCAAACCGGCGGGCGGUCGCCUCGCGGCGCCGUCCCCCACAACCACAACGGUCGACCUCGGAUCAGGUAGGGUUACCCGCUGAACUUAA
rnacentral:misc_RNA from 1 species